CAGGAUCUCCAUCCCGGAUCAAAAAAUCUAGAUAUCUGUCCGGUUGAUGCGGUACUCUACUGGAUCGUCUUAAGGAUAUUUAUAUAUCGGGCUCCAGAUUUGAUCUUAUCAAAUUCGGUUCAGAUUUAGUUACUAUUGUCGGUUCUUCUACCUGUCGAACUUCAUCAAGCUCGACUUUAGAGGCACUUGUUCCUUCACUAGGAAAUUUUUUUUUCAAAAAGUGUGUCUUACUGCUGACAAAUACCUUUUAUUCAGUAGAAAGAUAAAAGUAGUAUCCCUUCGUUUUCUUGGGGUACCCUAC
rnacentral:lncRNA from 1 species